rnacentral:tRNA from 1 species
GGCAGUGGUUAAAGCACUUGACUGCUAACCAAGAGGUUGGUGGUUCGAACCCACC